rnacentral:rRNA from 1 species
CCAAUGUCCCCCGUUUUGUUUAACAUCGUGGUGGAUAUGUUAGCAAUAUUGAUCGGAAGGGCUAAAGACCAUGGUCAAGUGGGUGGUUUAGUACCUCAUCUGGUGGAUGGAGGUGUAUCCAUUCUUCAAUACGCUGAUGAUACAAUCAUCUUCAUGGAGCAUGACUUGGCCAAGGCGAGAAAUAUGAAGUUGUUGUUAUGCCUCUUUGAACAAUUAUCGGGGUUAAAGAUUAAUUUUCAUAAGAGCGAAUUGUUCUGCUUUGGUAGGGCUAAAGACGAACAGGACUCUUAUAGGCAACUGUUUGGGUGCGAGUUGGGAAGUCUGCCCUUUUCCUACCUUGGCAUUCCGAUUCAUCAUCGUAGGCUAACAAACAGAGAGUGGAAGUGUAUCGAGGAUCGAAUUGAAAAGAAACUGAGCUGCUGGAAGGGUAAGCUCAUGUCAUAUGGAGGCCGGUUAGUUUUGAUAAACUCGGUACUCACGAGUAUGCCUAUGUUCCUCUUAUCGUUCUUUGAAGUUCCAGUGGGAGUGAGGAAAAGACUGGACUUCUAUCGAUCACGCUUCUUUUGGCAGGGUGAUGAGCUUAAAAGAAAAUACCGGCUUGCUAAGUGGGAUAUCAUCUGUCGACCCAAAGACCAAGGCGGGCUUGGCAUUGAGAAUCUUGAGGUUAAGAACAGAUGCCUUCUUAGUAAGUGGUUGUGGAAGCUCGCUAGCGGUUCGGAAGCUAUGUGGGCGCAAAUCAUUCGCAGCAAGUAUCUCCAGACUAGGACUUUGUCCCAGGUAACAGUUAGGCCGAUGGAUUCGCCUUUCUGGAAAGGGCUCAUGAAAGUCAAGCAAUUAAUGUUCAAUAGGACAAAAGUUGUCAUUGGCAAUGGGGCCAUUACACGUUUCUGGGAGGACGCUUGGCUGGGCGACUCACCCCUGGCCAUUCAGUAUCCGUCUUUAUAUCGUAUUGCUCAACGACGUGAGGUGCUCGUGGCAACGGUAUUUCAAUCUAUCCCCCUUAAUAUUCAGUUUAGACGGUCAUUAGCGGGCAAUCGUUGGGAGGUUUGGCUCCAGUUAGUUAGGAGACUAAUGGAGGUUCAACUUUCUGACCAACCGGAUAAAUUACGCUGGAAGUUGACUACGUCUGGGGUAUUUACAGUCAGGUCUAUGUAUACUGAUGUUAUUAAUACAAGCUCCAUUCCAACUUCCAAGAGUGUCUGGGAUGUCAAAGUACCUUUGAAAAUAAAAGUGUUUAUGUGGUUUGUUCAUAAACAAGUUAUUCUAACAAAGGACAACUUAAUAAAGCGUAAUUGGACAGGACCUACUAGGUGUAGUUUCUGUGAUCGAGAUGAGACAAUUAAACAUCUCUUUUUUGAUUGCCCGCUGGCCAAGGUUCUCUGGCAGACGGUCCACAUUGCUUUUAAUAUAACUCCACCGAAUACUGUUAAUGCUUUAUUUGGGAAUUGGCUAUAUGGGUUUGACUCUACAAUAGCAAGACAUAUUCGGGUUGGAGUCUGCGCUUUAAUAUGGACCAUCUGGCUGUGCAAAAAUGAUUUGGUUUUUAACAGAUCAUCACGAAUUCUUUUUUUGCAGGUUAUCUUCCGAGCUACGGCGCUGAUCUGUUCAUGGUCAUUA